rnacentral:misc_RNA from 1 species
GAAUCUCAAUCCAAGAAAUCCCCUGAGGCCUAAAUACCUUUGGACAAACACCUUGGUCGAAGCAUCGGUCCACAAUAUCUGGUCUGAUUCCAGAAUUCCCCGACCAUUCCUCAAGUUAGAGAAAUACGAGGUGUCAAAAUUGUUCACGCUUCCAGUGUCCAGUGCCACACGCUUCGAGCCAUCUCCGUUUUGUGGACAUAAUGCUUGAAGCUGAGAAAGAAAGGUUGCAUCUAUUGAAGGGUCAGGGCCACCAGUGGAGUUGAAAUUGUAUAGCCUGUAGCUGAAGAAUUGGCAUGCUGAGGUUCCAAUUGUGUGCCCACCAACAAGGGUGACAAGAUCUUGAGUGUUGAGACCCUUUGCAGC